UUUUCCAGAAAUGAUGCCAGGUAGCUUCAUCAGAUUUUUAGCUAGAUUCUUAGCGCAGGAUCCUAUUCUCAGCUCAACCCUCUGACCACUCUGCAUCUCUGAUGAGUCACCAGGAAAUCCCCCUGGAAUUCCCAGGUGCAUUACCAGACCCACAUUUAAGAUCUAGGCUGAUAAAAGGAAUUAAGAACAUUAGGAAGAGCAGCUGGAUCACCCUGGCAAGUACCUCAGGAAGGCAGAGCUAACUGCUCCUAAUACGGCUGGAGAGCCAGGGUUUUUUGUUUCUGGUUUCAUCUGUAACUCAGGCAAACACACACUAUGCAAAAGAAAAAUUCUGGAAGAGUUCAUUAACAGGUAUGUAAACAACAAAUGCAUGUCACUAGUACCUCUUACUGCAAAAGUUCAGUAAGUACUCUAUGCAUCGUCGGAUUUUAAAGCGUAAUAUAAAUCUAUUCCUUCUGCUCAGGUCUGGAAAUAUCUCUGU
rnacentral:lncRNA from 1 species